CUGGACUGGGAGAGGACCCUGCACCCAGUUCUCCUGCUUGCUUUCUCUGUCCCAAUCAACCGCACUUUCCCUAAGGACCUGUAGGGUCCUCUCCUCCCUGGUCCCAGCUCACCUGCUGGACCUCCCUGACCCCUCUCAUCUGCCCUCCCUGCCUUUCCGGAGACCCCUCUUCUGCCCAGGGCCCUCCAGCUCUUGCCACCACCCACUGCAGACCGCGACUGCUCUACUCCACACUGCCUUCUCUACAGAGUCCCUGCUGUCCCUCUACCAUGGUCCCUUCUGUCACCUGCCUGUCCUCACCACCAUGCAAAUCAAACACAGCUCCCCACACCCCACCUCUAAUUUCUUGCUGACCUGUGCUCCUUCCCUGCUCUGCAGCCACCUCUGCCCAUCAAUGUCCCCUUCACAGUGGGCUGUGGGCCGCGUGGACACUCUUUCCACUAAGAAGGUCCCUGUGCCCUGAUCUCCCCCAGCAUCUCAGGGCAGCUGAGAUGGCUUUCCCUCCUACCUCCCAGCCACAGCCACCCUCACUGAUGUGAUGCAGCCCAAGUCAGUAACCUGGAUGCAACCUGGAGGCGGUGGGGGACAAGGACAUGGUCCCUCAGAGGCCGCGGGGUCAGGAGAGAGAAGGCUUUUGUCUCCUGGGGUGAGUGGCAGGGAUUCCAAGAUACUUAGGGGCACUGCAUGUGAAUGGGAGCCCGGAUUGCACAAGACAGAAGAGAACCGGGCGGGGCUGCUGCAGGGGACGCCACGCCAGGGCAGGCGCGGGCGGGGCCGGGACGGUUCCACGCGAGGCGCCCUGCCUGUCUCCUCCAGUCCAGGAGCUGUGGCUGCAGAACCAGCGGGCCGGCUACCCGGGUCUCUGCUCCAUCCCCAGGGUCUCAGUCAGAAAUUCCUUAGAUUCACAGCACAUUUUACAAGCUGGGUGCAGUGGACCUGUGAGCACUCUGGAGGCUGAGGCAGGAGCAUCACCACGGGUCUAGGGCAGGCUCUGCUCCAUGAUGAGUUCAAAGCCAGCCUAGAACACAUGGGAAGACUUUGUUUCAAGAAACUACCACCAACGAUUUGUUUCUUUAUG
rnacentral:lncRNA from 1 species